CUUGGUCAUUUAGAGGAAGUAAAAGUCGUAACAAGGUUUCCGUAGGUGAACCUGCGGAAGGAUCAUUAACACGUAUCCAACGUUAAAAACCCCGUGCACCUUAAUCCUGCUCUCCCUCGCCUUGAUAAGCAAUUCCUGGUAAAUCACGCCGAACAGUUUGAUUCAGGAACCUCUUUGAGACGCGUUGGAUCGAGCGGUGGAGCAAAUAGACUUGGUUUCCAAACCACAAUACGAGUGAAAGUGUCGUAGAGUGUUGAGGAUAACUGCUUACUCAGAUCGUUGGUCCUCACGACCAACGGACAGGUCUCUGGAGCUUCGGCUCCCCUAUAUUAACUCCCCUGUAUGUGAAAGUCGGGCUUGCAAACUACAGGCCCACAAAACGAACAACUGUUAACAAUGGAUAUCUUGGUUCUCGCAACGAUGAAGAACGCAGCGAAAUGCGAUACGUAAUGCGAAUUGCAGAAUUCAGUGAAUCAUCGAAUCUUUGAACGCAAAUUGCGCUCCCGGGUUACCCCCGAGAGCACACCUCUCUGAGUGUCGGUUUAACCAAAUGUCACCAAUUUAUUGGUGUACGACAGACUGAGGGUAAGGAGUCUCGGCUUCUUUCCCUUUAAAUCUCAGCCGCACGACUGUGUGUGUUCGUGGCAAGUUGCUUUCACUUAACUGUGAAUCCAAUCCAUGAACCCUAUGUUAUGCAGCCAAAAGAAACAAAUGAACAGAGUUGUGAACUUAAAGGCAUUCAGUAGGCAGCGAUUAAGCUUCGGUUUGGUUGUUGGCGAAAGGUGGCUUUGGGGGAACGUCUCUGCGCAUCUAUGAAUUAGACCCCAGAUGAAGUGGGAAGACCCCCUGAAUUUAAGCAUAUUAUUAAGGGGAGGAAAAGAAACUAACAAGGAUUCCCCCAGUAACGGCGAGUGAAGCGGGAAGAGCUCAAAUUUAAAAUCCGGAGGUCUAACAGCCCUCGGAGUUGUAAUCUAGAGAGGCUCUCUCAGUGCCAGCCUGGUUAUAAGUCCCUUGAAACGGGGCAUCAUAGAGGGUGAGAAUCCCGUCUUUGAGCCGGAGCUAAGUACGUACGAGGAGUUUUCUAAGAGUCGCGUUGCUUGGGAGUGCAGCGCUAAAUGGGUGGUAAAGUUCAUCUAAAGCUAAAUACUGGCGAGAGACCGAUAGCGAACAAGUACCGUGAGGGAAAGAUGAAAAGAACUUUGAAAAGAGAGUUAAAAAGUACUUGAAAUUGUUAACAGGGAAGGGCAGGAAACCAGUCAUUUCUUUGCACCAUUCGCUUUUCCUUCGGGAGGGGUUACUUGGAGUAGAGAAGAGUCAGCAGCAUGUGGGCGUCUUCGUAGAAAGCGAGCGAGUUGGUGCGUUUCUUCGGAUUCGUUUAACUUUCUCGUCCUACGCUGGCCCUGCAUGAGGAGUGAUAACCCGCCUCCGCAAGGAGACGGUGCUCUUAGGUCUGUUUGCCCUAGCGCGUGAGAGAACAAAGUUCUGUCUGUGCGAAAGGUGAAUACUGCUCUAGAUGCGCCAGUUGCUGGGUUCGCGCUGCAGACGUAAUGGUUUUCUUCCACCCGUCUUGAAACACGGACC
rnacentral:rRNA from 1 species